GACGUAGGGCGCGAGCGUUGUCCGGAUUUAUUGGGCGUAAAGAGCUCGUAGGCGGUUUGUCGCGUCGUUCGUGAAAACUCACAGCUUAACUGUGAGCUUGCGGUCGAUACGGGCAGGCUAGAGUUCGGUAGGGGAGACUGGAAUUCCUGGUGUAGCGGUGGAAUGCGCAGAUAUCAGGAGGAACACCGGUGGCGAAGGCGGGUCUCUGGGCAGUAACUGACGCUGAGGAGCGAAAGCGUGGGGAGCGAACAGG
rnacentral:rRNA from 1 species